AUUGAACGCUAGCGGGAUGCCUUACACAUGCAAGUCGAACGGCAGCACGGACUUCGGUCUGGUGGCGAGUGGCGAACGGGUGAGUAAUGUAUCGGAACGUGCCUAGUAGCGGGGGAUAACUACGCGAAAGCGUAGCUAAUACCGCAUACGCCCUACGGGGGAAAGCAGGGGAUCGCAAGACCUUGCACUAUUAGAGCGGCCGAUAUCGGAUUAGCUAGUUGGUGGGGUAACGGCUCACCAAGGCGACGAUCCGUAGCUGGUUUGAGAGGACGACCAGCCACACUGGGACUGAGACACGGCCCAGACUCCUACGGGAGGCAGCAGUGGGGAAUUUUGGACAAUGGGGGAAACCCUGAUCCAGCCAUCCCGCGUGUGCGAUGAAGGCCUUCGGGUUGUAAAGCACUUUUGGCAGGAAAGAAACGUCAUGGGUUAAUACCCCGUGAAACUGACGGUACCUGCAGAAUAAGCACCGGCUAACUACGUGCCAGCAGCCGCGGUAAUACGUAGGGUGCAAGCGUUAAUCGGAAUUACUGGGCGUAAAGCGUGCGCAGGCGGUUCGGAAAGAAAGAUGUGAAAUCCCAGAGCUUAACUUUGGAACUGCAUUUUUAACUACCGAGCUAGAGUGUGUCAGAGGGAGGUGGAGUUCCGCGUGUAGCAGUGAAAUGCGUAGAUAUGCGGAGGAACACCGAUGGCGAAGGCAGCCUCCUGGGAUAACACUGACGCUCAUGCACGAAAGCGUGGGGAGCAAACAGG
rnacentral:rRNA from 1 species